rnacentral:rRNA from 1 species
UACAGAGGGGGCAAGCGUUGUUCGGAAUUACUGGGCGUAAAGGGCGCGUAGGCGGCCUUCUAAGUCGAACGUGAAAUCCCCGGGCUCAACCCGGGAACUGCGUCCGAUACUGGAAGGCUUGAAUCCGGGAGAGGGAUGUGGAAUUCCAGGUGUAGCGGUGAAAUGCGCAGAUAUCGGGAGGAACAUCUGUGGCGAAGGCGACACCCUGGACCAGCACUGACACUGAGGCACGAAAGCGUGGGGAGCAAACAGG